ensembl:misc_RNA Y_RNA Y RNA
GGCUGGUCUGAAGGUAGUAAGUUAUCUCAAUUGAUUGUUCACAGUCAGUUAUAGAUUGAACUCUUCAUUCUACUCGUCCCCCCCUUUUCACUACUGCACUUGACUAGUCUUUA